rnacentral:rRNA from 1 species
AUACGGAGGGUGCAAGCGUUGUUCGGAAUCACUGGGCGUAAAGCGCGUGCAGGCGGCCCAUUAAGUCAGAUGUGAAAGCCCUCGGCUCAACCAAGGAACUGCAUCUGAAACCACUGGGCUUGAGUACGGGAGAGGAGAGUGGAAUUCCCGGUGUAGAGGUGAAAUUCGUAGAUAUCGGGAAGAACACCGGUGGCGAAGGCGGCUCUCUGGACCGAUACUGACGCUGAGACGCGAAAGCGUGGGGAGCAAACAGCAUUAGAUACCCUUGUAGUCC